rnacentral:rRNA from 1 species
UACGUAGGGUCCGAGCGUUGUCCGGAAUUACUGGGCGUAAAGAGCUCGUAGGUGGUUUGUCGCGUUGUUCGUGAAAACUCACAGCUUAACUGUGGGCGUGCGGGCGAUACGGGCAGACUUGAGUACUGCAGGGGAGACUGGAAUUCCUGGUGUAGCGGUGGAAUGCGCAGAUAUCAGGAGGAACACCGAAAGCGAAGGCAGUCCCCUGGCAAGUUUCUGACGCUCAGGUGCGAAAGCUAGGGGAGCGAACAGG